ensembl:lncRNA
GUGAUUUUACGUUUGGUAAUUGCAUGAUGGAUUUGAAGCAAUGCUAUUAAUUGAGUGUCUUCCAGGUAAAACUGCUCUGACAUUCAACAUCCAGGUGCUGCAGAGUGGACGAGAAUAUGGACUGUCAUUUCCUUCAUACAUGCCGGGUUAGACGGUUGCAUUUCAACGCGGCAGCUAAAAUUGCAGCGGUUGACUAAAUAUGGAUGUGCAGCCGCAACAUUAAAGAGGGAGACAUAAUUGAAGAACAUAACUACAGGACAUCCCAGAAUAAGGUUUUCUCUCUCAAGCCAGGAAUCCUCCCAUCAGACACAUGAAGUUAUAUUUUCACAGGAAGCUGAACUACAUCCAGAAAGCACUCGGUGUCAAAGUUAACUGGUUAUGAUGUCCUUGGAGUCUGUUCCUCUUUUGACUCCAGGUGCGGGACAACUUGAGGUCCUUCUACCUCUUGAAUGAAGCCCAGCCAUCCACUAUGUUGCCAGCUCAAGAGCAACACCUACCAGUCCCUAUUCUGCUCGUACUGCCCUGGCCAUCGUGCUCUCCUCCUAUGGAAACCCCAGCUUUACCCUCCCCUUCCGGACAAUCUACCUCCAGGGAGCAACUAACUGCUCUCCUCCCCUCUGGCUAUCCCUUCCCCAGUUCUCCUGUUAAAU